rfam:Camponotus floridanus CamFlo_1.0_1.contig4357, whole genome shotgun sequence.
AAAACGGCCCUUUUCAGGGCCACCAAUUUGUCAUACGUCGGAAUUGU